CGCUCGAUGUUUUUCUCUUAUAUCGAGUCGAACCUGCCCAGUGAUUUUUAUUUAACGGCCGCAGUACUCUGACUGUGCAAAGGUAGCAUAAUCAUUUGCCUUAUAAUUGAAGGCUAGUAUGAAUGGUUUGACAAGAAUAACGCUGUCUCUUAUAGAUUCUGUAGAAUUUGGUUUUUAGGUGAAGAAACCUAAAUAUAAUUAAAAGACAAGAAGACCCUAUCGAGCUUAAAAUAAUUUUUUUGGUAUAAUAAUACCCUGCUCAAAAAAAGAUUUUAGUUGGGGCGACUAAGGAACACAAAAAGCUUCCUAUAAACUAUAAUUACUAAUAAGUAUUGAUCCAAAAGUUUGAUUAACAGAAUUAGUUACCGUAGGGAUAACAGCAUAAUCUUUUCUAAGAGUCCUUAUCGAAGAAAAGGUUUGUGACCUCGAUGUUGGACUAGGGUGCCCAGACAGGUGCAGAAGCCUUCAAUGGUUGGUCUGUUCGACCAUUAAUACCCUACA
rnacentral:rRNA from 1 species